GCUGCGGGAGCUGCCUGGGGACGCUCAUCCCUGGCCGGAGUCCUGACUUCCUUCCUGGACCCAGAUCUCGCUGCUGUCCCGGGGCCGCCACCGGAUUUUCUCCCGGAUCCUGUUCCUCCUUAGCCUCCUUUCUCCUGCCUCCUCGGCUUCCAUCUCCCGACUCCGCGUUUCCCUCCUCUUCUCCCCGGCCCCGGUUGCCCGCCACCCCGAGCCAUCACACCUGCCGUUUCCCUGUCUUUUACCCCUCCUUGACCUCAAAUCCCUUGACCAGCAGAGCCCUACCCUAAUUUUCUCACCAGAGUCUCCUAAAUUCCUCUCUCUUCUCCCUUUGGCAGCACCUGACUCCCAGAUUUCGGCCAACCCUUGACCUCUUGACAUUUGACCCUGACACCCUUGAUUCCAAACCUCUAAAUCCUUACCUUCUGCAUCCUGUACGCUGAAUCCAAGGCCUUCCCCUGUUUUCCAACCCCCCCCCAUUUCUGAGACUCAUUUUUACUUUCUUACUCCGGCCAGUUCCUGCUACUGCUAUCGCAACAUGGACUUCUUGAUGAGUGGCCUGGCAGCCUGCGGAGCCUGUGUGUUCACCAAUCCCCUGGAGGUGGUGAAGACCAGGAUGCAGCUGCAAGGAGAACUGCGGGCCCCUGGCACAUACCAGAGGCACUACCGAAACGUUUUCCAUGCCUUCUUCACCAUCGGCAAGGUGGAUGGUCUGGCUGCCCUGCAGAAAGGCCUGGCUCCUGCCCUCUUGUACCAGUUCCUGAUGAAUGGCAUCCGGCUGGGCACCUAUGGACUGGCUGAAGCUGGGGGCUAUCUGCACACAGCCGAAGGCACCCUCAGUCCUCCCCGCAGUGCAGCUGCUGGGGCCCUGGCUGGGAUCAUGGGAGCCUAUGUGGGGAGUCCCAUCUACAUGGUGAAGACUCACCUACAAGCACAGGCAGCCUCAGAAAUUGCUGUAGGGCACCAGUAUAAGCAUCAGGGCAUGUUUCAGGCGCUUACCGAGAUUGGCCAGAAACAUGGUCUGGUGGGGUUGUGGCGUGGGGCUGUGGGCGGCCUGCCCCGAGUUAUCAUCGGUUCCUCCACCCAGCUGUGCACCUUCUCAUCCACCAAGGACCUCCUGAGCCAGUGGGAGAUCUUUCCUCCCCAGAGCUGGAAGGUGGCUCUGGCAGCUGCCAUGCUGAGUGGCAUCGCAGUGGUCCUGGCCAUGACACCCUUUGAUGUGGCCAGCACAAGGCUCUACAACCAGCCCACAGACGCACAGGGCAAGGGCCUCAUGUACCGGGGAAUACUGGACGCGCUGCUGCAGACGGCUCGGACUGAGGGCAUUUUGGGCAUGUACAAGGAUCCCCAAGUACUCAGCAACAUCAUGUAGUGCUUCACCUUUACUGGGGACCAAAGAUGUUAGGAUCAAGAAGGGCCAGACUGGUUACCAGCUGUUCAAAGUCACCCAGGCUCCAGGGUGGAGCCAGAUUCCCCUGGGAAUCUAGUCAUGAGGCACACCUGCCCUUUCCUUCCUUCUUACCAGGGCUGAUUGAAGCUACCUGCUGCUUGCCAGAGAGGAUCCAGGCUUCUUGACAGCAGCCUCUCAGGGCCAGGUUCUCCAAACUGAGAGGCUGCACAGACUCCACUUGGACAACCCUAGCCCCCUGCACCCCGCCAACGUCCUCAAAGUGGUACCUGGAAUGCAGGAGCAGGGUCAGGGAGGGACAUCUCUGAUCGCCUCCCAGGAGCAGCGUUAAGUUCUAGGCUUCACUCAAUUCCCGCGGUAUGUUAACUGCCCUUAGAGUUCUCAUUGCCCGGAAUAACCGUCCGGCCACAGGCCCCGCCCGCUUCCUCCGUUCCGGCCCUCCCAUUGGCCGGCGUGGCCUCUUCCCUCACCGCGCAGCCGCUUCGCCCCGCACGUGGGCCUGCAGCUCCAGAAGUUCCACGAUCAGGCUCUGGUCCGUCAUGGGAUGGCAGAAAACUUCUUGAUUGUCCGGUACUGGUCGGAGGUCGCUGGAGAGAGGCGAGGCAGAACAUGGUUGACCCCAGCUUCUUCCCGCAACCCACCCGGUCGGCGCCCGGGCCUUCUCACCUUAC